GGCCCAUAGCCUAUCGCCAUGGCCCACAGCACCCACCAGUGCGACACUGUUCCGUUCUACUCUCACGGCCGCCACAGCCACCGCCGGGCAGCGCCACCUCGCCGUUCAGUUCUACGGGCGUGCCAUUGACGGCAGCUUCCAGCGCGUUCGAAUCGGCCCGUGGUCGGGAUGGAGCUGUUCCUUCUUCCGCGCGCGACCGGCCGCUGGACGCAGGGCAGUGCGCAGCCGAGCCCGAGCGCUCUUCUCCUCCGCAACCUUCAGCGGCGACGCCUCCCGCUGCGCCCGCCCUCCUCCAAGCAAUCAGUAACUUACAAGGAAUUUGCUGAACCAACUGAAUUAGAUAAUUUGUCUAUUCUGUUCUGCGGCAAUGGUAUUUCUUCAUGAUGGUAAUUGAGGAUGUUAACGUCUUCUAGAGAAGGAAAAAAGAUGAUCAAAUUCCAGGUUCUAGAGUUCACUUUGUUUAAUUUAUGAAUGAGGCAUGUCUUCUCUUUGAUUGAUCUGUUACAUUUUGUUCCUUAAGAUAAUCAUUCCAUGCUGCUACUAUCAGUACCUACCGUUUCCUCAAAUGUAACCGUGUUUGUUUCACUGUUCUGCAGAUUUCUUAUGUGUUAAUUAGUCAGCUACUCCUACAAAACAAAACUUCUUCAGAUGCACAUUCAGAUUUCCUGAAGAAUGUUGACGAGUGUUCCCUCAAAAACUAAAAAGAAUGUUGAGGAGCACCCAGUGGGAAGGCCCUUGGUUUAAUUGCACGUAACUUAUACCACCGGAUUUUUUAGCAUUCUUAAGAGUUCCCUGAGACUAUGCUCAUAGCCAGGCCCUUGGUUUUGUUGCCAUUUAUUAUCUGCAGUCCAAGAACACACAUUUCCGAGUUCACUGAGACUAUCCUCAUAGCCAGGCCCUUGGUUUUGUUGCCAUUUACUAUCUGCACUCCAAAAACACAUAUUUCAGAGUUCCCUGAGACUAUGCUUAUGGCCAGGCCCCCCGUUUUUUUUUUUUUUUUGCCAUUUACUAUCUGAAGGCCAAGAACACAUAUUUCAGAGUUCCCUAAUACACAGCGCAGCGGAGCCCAACGCCGAGUGCUCUUCUACCCCUCAACCUCCGGUGGCGACACCUCCUGCUGCGCUGGCCCUCCUCCAAGGUCUCCUCUCAUAGACCACUUCACCCGGCUAUCUGUUGAUGGUAGUCUUCUACCAGCAGCGACGGUCCUUAGGUUUCUACUAGCUUUGGUUCAUGGUUGCAGCGAUCAGUACAUACAAGGAUUUUGCUGUCUUUCCAGGAACUAACUGAAUUGGAUAAUUUGCCUAGUCUGGGGCAAUGUAACUUUUUCAUGGAAAUUGAGGACGUUAACGUCUUCUAGAAGAAAAAAGAAGAUCAAACUCCAGAUUCUUGACUGCACUUUGCUUGAUUUAUGCAUGAGGCUGUCUGCUCUUUGAUUGAUCUAUUCUGCUCCUUCAGAUAAUCAUUUCAUGCUCUUCUUAUUCAGUACCCACUGUUUCCUCAAAUGUAGUCGUAUUUGUUUUCACUCUCCCGCAGAUUUCUUAUGCGUUAAUUCUUUAGCUACUCCUACAAAACAAAGCUGCUUCAGAUGCACUCCCAGGUGUCCUGAAGAAUAUUGACGAGCGAGCACCUCGUGGGCAGGCCCUUGGUUUAAUUGCAAGUAGCUUGUACCCCUUGAUUUGUCAGCAUUCUUCAGAGGUCCCUGAGAUUAUGCUCAUGGUUAGGCCCUUUGGUUUUGUUGACAUUUACUAUCUGUAGUCCAAGAACACAUAUUUCAGAGUUCCCUGAGAUUAUGGGCAAAGCCGCAAACAAACCAGUUUGAUACAUGAGUCUGUAUCAUACGCCUGCCGGGUCCUGUGGCUGACAAAUGUGCCUUUGCUCUUUGAGUUCAUCCGCCCCCAUCAGAUCGCCGUCCGGAUUAAUUCACGGUGCAGGCUGGCUCGUCUGCUGGCUGCUGCUUUCCUUUUGUCACAGGUAUGUUCAGCCUGUGUGACUUCCAUGAAGUACUGUUCAGUUCCACAGCUUGAUCAGUGUGCUCCUACCAUUGUUCCAACUUUUUAAUUCCAGUAAUACCAAACAGAUCUGACAAAAUACUUUUGAUUGUUUUUGUGCCUGCUUGAUUUGGUAGAAAGACAGGCUAUAGACGAAACCUAACCGCUAUGUGAGGUAUGGGAGAGAGGCGUUCUGGAGGUCAUCAUAAAACCCAUCUAGGGUUCCCUCCCCCUCACGGGUAACGCCGCCAGUCCGCUUUGCCUCGGUGGCCUUUGGGCCUUGGAGGUGUGGCGGACCACGGCUCCUCGCCCGCG